rnacentral:rRNA from 1 species
AUUGAACGCUGGCGGCAUGCUUUACACAUGCAAGUCGAACGGCAGCGGGGGCUUCGGCCUGCCGGCGAGUGGCGAACGGGUGAGUAAUGCAUCGGAACGUGCCCAUGUUGUGGGGGGAUAACUACGCGAAAGCGUAGCUAAUACCGCAUAAGCCCUGAGGGGGAAAGCGGGGGGAUUCUUCGGAACCUCGUGCGAUUGGGAGCGGCCGAUGUCGGAUUAGCUAGUAGGUGAGGUAAAGGCUCACCUAGGCGACGAUCCGUAGCGGGUCUGAGAGGAUGAUCCGCCACACUGGGACUGAGACACGGCCCAGACUCCUACGGGAGGCAGCAGUGGGGAAUUUUGGCAAUGGGCGCAAGCCUGAUCCAGCC